rnacentral:rRNA from 1 species
AACGAACGCUGGCGGCAGGCUUAACACAUGCAAGUCGAACGCCCCGCAAGGGGAGUGGCAGACGGGUGAGUAACGCGUGGGAACGUACCUUUCAGUUCGGAAUAACUCAGGGAAACUUGUGCUAAUACCGGAUACGCCCGCAAGGGGAAAGAUUUAUCGCUGAAAGAUCGGCCCGCGUUGGAUUAGCUAGUUGGUGGGGUAAAGGCCUACCAAGGCGACGAUCCAUAGCUGGUCUGAGAGGAUGAUCAGCCACACUGGGACUGAGACACGGCCCAGACUCCUACGGGAGGCAGCAGUGGGGAAUAUUGGACAAUGGGCGCAAGCCUGAUCCAGCCAUGCCGCGUGUGUGAUGAAGGCCUUAGGGUUGUAAAGCACUUUCACCGAUGAAGAUAAAUGACGGUAGUCGGAGAAGAAGCCCCGGUAACUUCGUGCCCAGCCAGCCGCGGUAAAAGUACUCUAU